GAUGAACGCUGGCGGCGUGCUUAACACAUGCAAGUCGAACGGGAAACAUUUUAUUGAAGCUUCGGCAGAUUUAGAUUGUUUCUAGUGGCGGACGGGUGAGUAACGCGUGGGUAACCUGCCUUAUACCGGGGGAUAACAGCCAGAAAUGACUGCUAAUACCGCAUAAGCGCACAGAACCGCAUGGUUCCGUGUGAAAAACUCCGGUGGUAUAAGAUGGACCCGCGUUGGAUUAGCUAGUUGGCAGGGCAGCGGCCUACCAAGGCGACGAUCCAUAGCCGGCCUGAGAGGGUGAACGGCCACAUUGGGACUGAGACACGGCCCAGACUCCUACGGGAGGCAGCAGUGGGGAAUAUUGCACAAUGGGGGAAACCCUGAUGCAGCGACGCCGCGUGAAGGAAGAAGUAUCUCGGUAUGUAAACUUCUAUCAGCAGGGAAGAUAA
rnacentral:rRNA from 1 species